UACGGAGGAUCCGAGCGUUAUCCGGAUUUAUUGGGUUUAAAGGGAGCGUAGGCGGAAGCUUAAGUCAGUUGUGAAAGUUUGCGGCUCAACCGUAAAAUUGCAGUUGAUACUGGGUUUCUUGAGUGCAGUAGAGGUAGGCGGAAUUCGUGGUGUAGCGGUGAAAUGCAUAGAUAUCACGCAGAACUCCGAUUGCGAAGGCAGCAUACCGGCGCUCAACUGACGCUCAUGCACGAAAGCGUGGGUAUCGAACAGG
rnacentral:rRNA from 1 species